ensembl:miRNA sha-mir-142 sha-mir-142
ACAAACACAGACAGACAGACAGUGCAGUCACCCAUAAAGUAGAAAGCACUACUAACAGCAAUGUAGGGUGUAGUGUUUCCUACUUUAUGGAUGAGUGUACUGUGGGCUUCGGAGACACGCCGUCAGUCACCCUCACCAUCCGUCUUCUGG